AUGGAAGGAGAGGAGGAGGUUGCACAGCCGCCUGACCAUGGCGAGAAGUCGUCGUGGCCGGAACUGGUGGGCAGCUGGUACAUGGACGCAGCAUUCACGAUCGCGCACGAAAGGCCAGGAGUCUCCGUCCACUUCUACGAUUUCAACUGGACCGGACCGCCGCCGGCAGGGUUCGACCCCAAGCGCGUGGCCCUCUUCUCCGACGCCCAUAAGCUCGUCGCAGAUAAGUUGUACCGAGUACUGAUAGCAACGUUUUUCGUGCUUGUUCUUUGCAAAAAAUUAAGCAUUGUAUAUCUUUUGGUGGACCGUGAUACCGUGAACGUUAUAUUUUUAGCGAUAGAAUAG
rnacentral:rRNA from 1 species